rnacentral:rRNA from 1 species
GACGAACGCUGGCGGCGUGCUUAACACAUGCAAGUCGAACGGUGAAGCGCCUUCCUUUUUGGUGGGUGUGGAUGAGUGGCGAACGGGUGAGUAACACGUGAGUAACCUGCCCCCUUCUUCUGGAUAACCGCAUGAAAGUGUGGCUAAUACGGGAUAUUCUGGGUCUGUCGCAUGAUGGGUCUGGGAAAGAUCUUGUUUCGGUGGGGGAUGGGCUCGCGGCCUAUCAGCUUGUUGGUGGGGUGAUGGCCUACCAAGGCGGUGACGGGUAGCCGGCCUGAGAGGGUGGACGGUCACACUGGGACUGAGACCCGGCCCAGACUCCUACGGGAGGCAGCAGUGGGGAAUAUUGCACAAUGGGCGAAAGCCUGAUGCAGCGACGCCGCGUGAGGGAUGGAGGCCUGCGGGUUGUGAACCUCUUUCGCCAGUGAAGCAGGCCUGCCUCGUUUGUGGGUGGGUUGACGGUAGCUGGAUAAGAAGCGCCGGCUAACUACGUG